rnacentral:rRNA from 1 species
AUUGAACGCUGGCGGAAUGCUUUACACAUGCAAGUCGAACGGCAGCACGGACUUCGGUCUGGUGGCGAGUGGCGAACGGGUGAGUAAUGUAUCGGAACGUGCCCAGUCGUGGGGGAUAACGUAGUGAAAAUUACGCUAAUACCGCAUACGAUCUAUGGAUGAAAGCGGGGGAUCGCAAGACCUCGCGCGAUUGGAGCGGCCGAUAUCAGAUUGGGUAGUUGGUGGGGUAAAGGCCCCCCAAGCCAACGAUCUGUAGCGGGUCUGAGAGGACGACCAGCCACACUGGAACUGAGUCACGGUCCAGACUCCUACAGGAGGCAGCAGUGGGGAAUUUUGGACAAUGGGCGAAAGCCUGAUCCAGCCAUUCCGCGUGCGGGAUGAAGGCCCUCGGGUUGUAAACUGCUUUUGUACAGAACGAAAAGGUUUCUACUAAUACUAGGAGCUCAUGACGGUACUGUAAGAAUAAGCACCGGCUAACUACGUGCCAGCCGCCGCCGUAA